ensembl:lncRNA
GAAGUUUAGAAUUGAUUCACGCUAACCCAGCCCAGACCUGGGGUUGGUUAGUGGAAUCCACUGCUAGAUAAUUUGUUAUUCAUACUUAUCCAUCCGCCUCCCGCUGGGCUGAGAUAAAGGUAAAGUGCUUCUUCUGCCUUACCUUCAAGGAGGAUGGAUUUCACCCCAGAUAAGAGUUGGGCGCAUCAACACAUAGCAACUUUUAAGGUUUCACAUCAGAAAAGUGAGUUGUGUCUGAGCACACUCCAGGAUGUCUCAUGCUUCUUCUGAUUAAGUCUGGAAGUUCUGGGCCAGCAGAAAAGCCCAGCAUCACUGGAAGAACAAUGUGGGGACUCCAAUCUCCUGCUUCCCUGUGCAAAUCUGACAUUUUCCUUCCAGAGCCAGAGACAUGACUGGUGUUUAAUAUGGACUUUGUUCAACCAAAAGAGUGGGUCCUGUGGAUUUCAGAGCUCUUAAAUCUGGCAAAGAGUGUGUUUCUGGGGUAAAAGUAUCCUUCUCACAGAAUCCAUGGGGAUCUUAAGCAAUUCCUCAUUCACUGCACUCACAAUGUCUAAGAUCAGAAGCUCACCAGAUAAAGAGCAGACCCUAGCUGAAAAAAAAAUCAACAGCAGUUGUAGACUUCAUAAGUCUGAUGUGUACAUGAUUUGACGCUUGCUUGCAAAAUCCUACAAGACUAUUGAGAUUUUCCCCUCUGUUACAAUAAAGAGCACAUCAUAGAUUAAGACACUGAUCCACCAAAGAGUUCAAGCUACGCUGAAGGGUGGAAGCCAAAGGAGCUGCCAAAUUCA